CCUACGGGAGGCAGCAGUGAGGAAUAUUGGUCAAUGGACGAGAGUCUGAACCAGCCAAGUAGCGUGAAGGAUGACUGCCCUAUGGGUUGUAAACUUCUUUUAUAAAGGAAUAAAACGAGGCACGUGUGCCUUUUUGCAUGUACUUUAUGAAUAAGGAUCGGCUAACUCCGUGCCAGCAGCCGCGGUAAUACGGAGGAUCCGAGCGUUAUCCGGCUUUAUUGGGUUUAAAGGGAGCGUAGAUGGGUUGUUAAGUCAGUUGUGAAAGUUUGCGGCUCAACCGUAAAAUUGCAAUCGAUACUGGCAGUCGUGAGUACAGUUGAGGUAGGCGGAAUUCGUGGUGUAGCGGUGAAAUGCUUAGAUAUCACGAAGAACCCCGAUUGCGAAGGCAGCUUACUAAACUGUGACUGACAUUGAUGCUCGAAAGUGUGGGUAUCAAACAGGAUUAGAUACCCUGGUAGUC
rnacentral:rRNA from 1 species